CCUACGGGUGGCAGCAGUGAGGAAUAUUGGUCAAUGGGCGCGAGUCUGAACCAGCCAAGCAGCGUGAAGGAUGACUGCUCUAUGGGUUGUAAACUUCUUUUAUAAAGGAAUAAAGUGAGAUACGUGUGUCUUUCUGUAUGUACUGUAUGAAUAAGGAUCGGCUAACUCCGUGCCAGCAGCCGCGGUAAUACGGAGGAUCCGAGCGUUAUCCGGAUUUAUUGGGUUUAAAGGGAGCGUAGGUGGGUUGAUAAGUUAGAUGUGAAAGUCUGCGGCUCAACUGCGGAAUUGCAAUUGAUACUGGCAGUCUUGAGUGCAGUUGAGGUAGGCGGAAUGCAUGGUGGAGCGGUGAAAUGCUUAGAGAUCACGAAGAACACCGAUUGCGAAGGCGGCUUACUAAGCUGCCACUGACGUUGAGGCUCGAAAGUGUGGGUAUCAAACAGGAUUAGAUACCCCGGUAGUC
rnacentral:rRNA from 1 species